UGAGGAAUAUUGCACAAUGGGCGCAAGCCUGAUGCAGCGACGCCGCGUGGGUGAAGAAGGUUUUCGGAUCGUAAAGCCCUUUUCUGUGUGACGAGACAAGGACGGUAGCACAGGAAUAAGUGUCGGCUAACUACGUGCCAGCAGCCGCGGUAAAACGUAGGACACAAGCGUUAUCCGGAGUUACUGGGCGUAAAGGGCGUGCAGGCGGUUUCUUAAGUCAGGCGUGAAACCAUUCGGCUAAACCGGGUGUAGUCGUCUGAGACUGGGAGACUUGAGUGUGGUAGAGGCGUGUAGAAUUCCGGGUGUAGUGGUGAAAUGCGUAGAUAUCCGGAGGAAUACCAGUGGCGAAGGCGGCACGCUGGGCCAUAACUGACGCUAAGACGCGAAAGCAUGGGUAGCGAACGGGAUUAGAAACCCCGGUAGUCCAUGCCGUAAACGAUGUACACUGGGUGUUCAGACGGGGAAGCUCGUCGGGGUGCCUAAGCUAACGCGCUAAGUGUACCGCCU
rnacentral:rRNA from 1 species